UAAAACCAGCACCUCAAGUGGUCAGGAUGAUUAUUGGGCCUAAAGCAUCCGUAGCCUGCUUUGUAAGUUUUCGGUUAAAUCCAUGUGCUCAACGCAUGGGCUGCCGAAAAUACUGCAUAGCUAGGGAGUGGGAGAGGUAGACGGUACUCAGUAGGUAGGGGUAAAAUCCUUUGAUCUAUUGAUGACCACCUGUGGCGAAGGCGGUCUACCAGAACACGUUCGACGGUGAGGGAUGAAAGCUGGGGGAGCAAACCGGAUUAGAUACCCGGGUAGUCCCAGCUGUAAACGAUGCAGACUCGAUGAUGCAUUGGCAUAAUAGCCAUUGCAGUGUCGCAGGGAAGCCGUUAAGUCUGCCGCCUGGGAAGUACGUACGCAAGUAUG
rnacentral:rRNA from 1 species